GAUCAUGGCUCAGGAUGGACGCUGGCGGCGUGCCUAACACAUGCAAGUCGAACGGGGCAAAUGAGAUGAAGUUUUCGGAUGGAUUCUUAUUUACCGAGUGGCGAACGGGUGAGUAACGCGUAAUCAACCUGCCCUUCAGAGGGGGACAACAGUUGGAAACGACUGCUAAUACCGCAUACGAUUCAAUCUCGGCAUCGAGACUGGAUGAAAGGUGGCCUCUAUUUAUAAGCUAUC
rnacentral:rRNA from 1 species